UGACAAACGAUGAUAACUCAAAUCGACAUAAUGGGGAUUAGGAUUAAGGGUGGUCUGCAUACCUUUCUGAAGUGCAAUCGGUACUAGGAAGAGACAAGUCCGCAAUAGGAGCAGGUCAGGUGCAAGAUGUGAAUCAGCUGGGCAGAAUCAACUGGGCCUGAUGUUGGGUGCGGACGACGAUGAUAUGUUAAGAGUGAUAUUCCUGUGGCAGGGAGUCUAGGAGGAGCCACAGUAGACUCCCCAAUGGUUGGAAUGGCUAAGACUUCUAUAGCGGAAGGUGAAGGAGGAGCUAUAGUAGGCUCGGGUAAGAUUUCUGCGGCGGAAGGUGAAGGGGGAGCUAUUGUAGACUCCUUAAAGAUCAGUAUAGGUAAGACCUCAGAUAUAUCAAGGUGGUCAGAAUGGUCAGAAGAGGUAAAGAAAGGUUUAGAAGGUCGGUAUAGGUAAGACCUCAAAUAUAUCAAGGUGGUCAGAAUGGUCAGAAGAGGGAAAGAAAGGUUUAGACUCAAAAAUUGUGAAGCCAGAGGACAUAAAGUACCUACGAAGAUCAUGUGAGUAACAACGAUAUCCCUUCUGAACACGAGAAUAACCAAAGAAGACACACUUGACAGCACGGGGAGCUAACUUAUCUUUCCCAGGGGCUAGGUUAUGAACGAAACAAGUGAUCCCAAAAACACGAGGGGGAACAGAGUAUAAGGGUGAUUAGGGAGACAAUAUUGCAUACGGUGUCUGAUUCUAGAUGGGAGAGAAAGGCAUCCGAUUAACUAAAUAACAAGUUGUGAGAACUGCAUCGCCCAAAAAACGCAACGGAACAUGAGAUUCAAUGAGAAGUGUGCGAGAAGUCUCAAUGAUGUGCCUAUUCUUUCUCUCUGCAACCUCAUUUUGC
rnacentral:lncRNA from 1 species